UCGGAAAGAACGCCUGAUCGGAAAGAAAAUGCGUCAUGUAAACGCGCCGUUCGGAAUACUCUGCCCCGAUCAGACUCGUUCGGAUCAGAAUUUCUUUCCGAUCGAGAUAGGUGGGUUAUACCGAUCGUUUAUCCGAUCGUGGAGCAUGUAAACGGUCAUUCCGAUCAUGUGUCACUGCUGCUCUGGGUUACGUCACGCAUAGACGGUGCUUCGCUGAGAGAAAGCUUUGGACCAGCUCUGCGGACGCCCCGUGAAAAGCGCCGCUCUGCUCUCGCCCCGCUGCCUCUCUGCCUCUCCCUCCUUCACGAGGGGUAUGCAGGGCAGCAGCGCUUUGGACCAAGUGAGCAGAGGAGCCAGAUAACUUUGUGUGUGAAGGGAGGGAGGGAUGCUUAGUUACGUGUGCGUUUUGUUGUUUUGUUAUGUGUGGUAGAAUUCAGACUGCGAGCCGUCCCGCCACUCUGGGUUAGCGGCUGCAGGACUCAGGAGGAACCGUGUUUGGGGCGGUGUGUGAACGUCUCAGAGCAGAAAUAAAUGUUGCUCAGCCCUUAGAAGCUGUCCCGGCAAAAUAAAGGCCGAUGUUAUUCCCACAUAUUUACGUGCUGCCAAGAUGUAGAUUACUGCCUGUCUCGCACGGUCCUGGAUUUUGUGUCCACAAGCAAGGCUAAUGUUGUUAGCGCGUGUUUUUAGCCUGUCCUAACUCUUCCAGCUCCGUUCUUCAACAUAAAAAGCAAUGACCACACGGAUUAAAUAAACGAUGAGCGAGCAGGCGCUUCAUACUAUUCAUAACAUUAAUAAAAGCACGUUUGGAAGAUCGCCUCGUGUUACAGAGCUGCUGCACUAAAGUCUGUAGCAGCGGUCUGUUUACAACGAGGCGCAUCUCUUCUUCCGGGUUUUUUUUUUUUACCACUACUGCGCAUGCCCAAACGAUUUAUUCCGACCAAAGGUGUGAGCCAUGGGGACGCUUGUUCUAAUCGGAAAAAGGUUUUCUGAUCCCAUGUGCAGGGGUGAAUUUUAACCCGACCAUUGAUCCGAUCAAGAUAUUCUGCCCAUGUAACCGCGGCUGAAUCAACUCAUGACCGCAGCCACUUCUGAGGACGCACAGCUAGUUUGAGCUGUGUGCAGGAUCAUACUAUGCCUCUGGGAGCAUCCAGCCAGGUCUCCCCUGGGGCAUGGGACCCAGGUGCCACCAGAGAAGACUGAGGGGGUGACCAGGGAGGUGAAGAAUUGGAACAGCACUGAGGACAAGGCACUGCAGAGAAGAAAUGGCCACCCACUACAGUGGUUAAGAGGUGCCCCAUCUCCAACACAAGGUCUGCAAUCAGUUGGGCAGCCACAUUGGCCCAGCAUGU
rnacentral:lncRNA from 1 species